AGUCCAUGAUGAGGACAAAGUCUUAGCAUAUCUUUAUAUCACUCCCAGGCUUCGAAGAGUGAUUCGUUGUCUUUUUGGGUAAAUCUGUUGAUUUGACCUCUUAGCAU